rnacentral:lncRNA from 1 species
AUUUCUGUCUUGGCCUGAACCAAGCAGUGCCAGGGCUUGCCGAGUCCUCGGGCCACGAAGGCUUAGGUUUCCUGUAGGGCUUUGAGAAGAAGCCCACUGUGAUUCCCAGCCGGUCCUCUCUGAGUAGCCAAGAACGCUGGCAGAUGGGAUCCAAGACCCCAGUUAGAGGUGUGUUUUCUGCUGUCCUUGCUGUCACUCCUUUAGGCCAGGUGCUAGAAGCUUCUUUCGCUGGCUGGCCUCGGCGGGCCUCUCUUCCUUCCCAGAUGCUCCUCCAUCACUCUGCCUCUCACCUCGCUUUUCCUAGACUUGCGCUCUCGUGCAGUUAGUCGGGAGUAGUUUUGCGGGGGUUCACGUGUUGGGUAAAGGGUAGUCCUGGUGAGCCCUCUAACGUCCCUCCCCUUCCUCCUGAAGACGGUGGGGCAGGGGUGGGUAUGUGGGGUUUCAUCGUGGGGCUGGCUUGGCUGGCGGGCAACUGGCCCGGUCCAUACAGCUCUGCCUUUCCCUUUCCGCGUACCUGCUCCAGGUCGAGAGGUGACAGGCGGGCUGAAGCCACCCUGUGGGAGGAGUUGGAACCCCAGUCACUGAGCGGCCUCCUUUCUGGCAAAUGGAGAGGGUUUGAUUUUUCACAUCUGACGUGCUGCGAGGAGAAAUUGUUAGAAGAAGGUUGUUGGUGUCGUUCGAGAUGCGCAGGACCUGAGUGUUCGUCCCGCUCGGCUCUUCCCGGUGACGCGUUUCAGGUCUUUACUCUGACGUGAGUGAGAGCUCAGAGUUUCGGAGAAUCAGACUGAGAUGCUACAUGAGUACUGGUGCAAAAGGGUGUGCUAAGACCAGGCUUUGAAAGUGUAAGGUAGUGCUAUUUAGAGUCCUGUGGCUUUUGUGUCCCGACUCCGGAGUCUAGAGCGUGGUGAUUGCCAGGCGGCUCCUCUGAGAAGCCCGGGGCGACUGGGGCCUUGGCCGUGUACCCCCUGGGCUGGGCAGGCCUGGCCUUCGCAACGUUUGAGGGCCAGUUAAACUUCCGGCGUCUCCUCCACAGUCCGCCUCCUCCUUCCUGCCGCCACCGCCCGCCGCCGGGAGGGGUGCCGGCUGAGUCGGCGGGGGUGGCUCCGGCAGAGCUUCGCCUGGGGGUCUCCUCCUCCUUGACGUCGUUAGCGCCGCAGGCCGUGGUGCUGAAAGAGGAGCCGGAACCCGCCGAAGCUGCUGAGUGGUACUCAGCGUGGUUGAAGUACUUGUUUUUCUUCCUCGGGGUCCUCCAGAGAUUGAUCCGGGAUUACUCGACCAAAUUCAAGGCCCGGAGAGUCGCUCCAGGCCUUCGGGGAGGCGAGAGCCAGCCGCCCCUCUCCACGAACCUGAUUAUUCCUCUGACGACCCGCCGCUGCCCGCACGGGUGUCUUCUGAUGCAAAUCUGGUGAUAGUGGCAACCUUUCCGACUGGGUUGAACAUCCUUGACAGCUGCUAUCUGUCCUUUCCAGGUAUUUUUAGCCUCCAGCCUCUGUGGCCACGUCGAGAGGAACGGAGGUGGAUCUGGCGGCUCUGGUGCUGCUCCGAGUCCUCUGCUCCCCCGUUCCAGCCUCCACAGCACCGCUCUCAGGGGGGCUUUGCCUUGCCAUUUGAUGGGGGAGCACGGACCGACCUCAUUUGUUUAGGAAGAAUGCAAAAGUCAUGAUUUUCCAAAGGCUUUUAAAAGUCAGCAGUGGCGAGAGGCGACAGUGCGCGACAGCGAGGAUGUACUUGAUGCCCCUGGAUCUUACGCUCAGGGAGGGCUUCAAUGGCCAAGAAAUUUUCAAUUCAAAAACCCUCUCAAAAUAUGUAUAUGGCAAUAUUGUCAUUACCCCGGGUUGGCAGGUUGUGCCUUAAGUAAAGCUCCGGUCCCCUGCCCGGCACACACACGUGCAAGGAGCGCAAAUGAAGGAUAGUCAUCAGCCUCUGAGGUUCAUUUAUCCAGAAGGUGGACACUGGGACACUCAGGCAGGGGUUGUGGGCCCUGCUGGAGCUGGAGCAUUUUUUUUUUUUUUUUUGUCUUUUGUCUUUUUAGGGCUGCACCCACGGCAUAUGGAGGUUCCCAGGGUAGGGGUCGAAUCAGAGCUGUAGCCCCAGCCUACACCACAGCCACAGUAACGCCAGAUCUGAGCUGCGUCUGACCUACACCACAGCUUACAGCAAUGCCGGAUCCUUAACUCCCUGAGCGAGGCCAGGGCUUGAACCCGCAACCUCAUGGUUCCUAGUCGGAUUUGUUUCCGCUGCCCCACGACGGGAACUCCAGGAGCAGUUUUUAUUGCAGGAAACACAAGCUACCCAAGUUGGGUUAAGCGAAGGUGGUUUUUGUGUAAGAAGAGCAGAGGCAGUCCCAGCCAACCAGAAUGGAAGCAGAAGUGAGCCAGGCGGUCUGGGGCCUGGACCUGGCGCAUCUGAAGUAGACCUUUCCUCUGGAUCGCUCUGACAGCUCCCAUCUGUGCUGUUCCCUCCAUUUCUCCUUGCAGACGAGGCUUCCUCUUAGGGUGGCUUCCUUGCUGCACCGUAAUUUGCCCGUAGCUGUGCCCUGCUGGGGCCCCAGGCAUGCUCCUGCCCGGCCUGAUUCCAGUUCCUGGGCUCGAGGUCGUCUGACUCCAGCGCUGUGGUUUGUAUUGCAGACGCUCAAGGUGAAGCGUUGAGCUGACCCCUCUCAGCCAGUUGCUUUGUUCCCAUAGGCCCGUGUUCACCCUGGUCUGGUCGAUGCCAGAGGGAUCCGCCAACCUGCUGAUCACUUUAAGGGGCCUCCAGAGAAAGGAGAUGGUGGCAGAAGGGAGCAGGGGGCCUGAUGCUCAGACUCUUGUCUCCAUCAAACAGCGUCAAAGAGUGUUGACUUCAAAAUGGGUUUCUUGUGUUCACCCGCAAUAGCACAUGUUCACUGUAGCUGCAGACAGGAGGCCCGCAUCCUCAGCCCGCAGCCUGGUGUGGCGGUACCUCAGCAGGCGGUGGAGGGCCUGUCCCAGGCUUGAGCCCGGAGUGGUGGGGAAGCAGGCCUGACGCGCUGCAGCCUGAUGGUCUGCCCAGUCUUCGCCCCCGUGGCUGGAAGGGGCACCAGGCAGUUGGGGAGCCGCCGGUGUCUUCCGAGGUUUCCCCUGUUCGGAUACUUGGGGGCGGGGACUUCCUUGCCUUUCCCCUUGUGGGGGGACCACGAAACUGAAGGGUCCGGUCGCCUCUGAAGAUGGAGUCUGGGGAGGAAACGGGAGCGGCCUCUGAGCACGUGUGGCUUCCUGUAUCACAGCCGUUUGUCUUUCCCUCUGUAUCCUGCCUGCAUUGCAUCUCAGGUGUCUCUCGAUUUCUCAUCAUAGAAAGAGGAAACAAAAUUAGCAAACAGCUGGAAGGCUCGAAGAGCACUAGCUUGGAGGUCUGUGUGGAGGGCCGGUUGCCAACACACCUUUGACGUGUGACUAAACAGCUGCUUGGCGACCAUUGUUUCCUAGUGAUGACCUUGAGUCUAUUCACAGAGCAGUCCUUCCGUGCUCUGCUUAACACAAAGGAGAAGUGUAACAUGCUUUAAAGAAACAUAGGCAUCAGAGCGGUUUUAGUAGUUAAAGGGAUUCAAUUCCUUUUUUAAUAACAGCUAUAUGAAGUAUAAUUCAUACACCAUACAAUUCACCCUUGUGAAAUACACAAAUAAGUGGUGUUUGGCAUAGUUAGAGUAGUAUAACUCGCAGCACCGUCUAAUUCUGUAGCAUCUUCAUCACUCCAAAAGCAACCCCUGUGCCUGCUAGUAGCCACUCCUCCCUCCCCUCUGCUCCAGUCAGUCCACUGAUCUGCUCUGUCUUUCUGGUUGUGCUUAUUCAUGGACUCCUGCAACAUGUGGCCUUUUGUGACUGGCUUCUUUGCCUUAGCAAGAUGUUUUCAUGCACCUUAUAGCAUGUAUCAGAACUUCAUGCCUGUUGUGGUAGAAUAAUACUGUUUUCUAGAGCGAUCACAUUUCUUUAUCUCUACACCAGUUGAUGGACAUUCGAGUUCUUUUCAUGUUUGGCUACUGUAAUCCGUGCUGCUGUGAACACUUGUGGACGUGUUUUUGCUGGACAUACGUUUUCAGUUCUCUUGGGUGGACACCUGGGGGUAGAAUUGCUGGGCCACGUGGUCACUCUGUGUUUAGCUUUUGAGGAACCGCCAGACUGUUUUCCAGAGUGCCUGCAUCAUGUUACAUUCCCGCCAGCAGUGUUGGAAGGUUCCAGUUUCUCCACGCCCUUGCCAGCACUGGCUAUUACCGGACUGUGAUUAUAGCCAUUCUUGUGGACGUCAAGUGGUACCUUACUGUGGUUUUGAUGUACGUUUCCUAAAGGCUCAUGACACUGAGCAUCUUUUCUUGUGCUUAUUGGCCAUUCGUGUGUCUGCUUUGAAGAGACGUCUAAGGCCCUUUCUGCCCAUUUUUGAAUGGAAUUGUUUGGUGUUGCCUUUUGAGUCCUAGGCCAUCAUCAGUUUCUUGUCAGAUGCAUGAUUUGCAGACAUUUUUCUCCCAUUCUGUGGAUUGUCUUUUCACUUUCUCAUUGGUGUCCUUUGAGACGCAAAAGAUUUAAAUUUUGGCUGAGUUCACUUUAUCUGUUUUUUCUUUUGUCGCUCCUAGAUCAACAUAGUGAAGAAACCACUGUCACAGUUAAGAAACCAUUGCUUAAUCCAGAGUCACGCAGAUUCAUACCUACGUUUUGCGGUCAGAAUUUUAUAGUUCUGAUUCAUUUCGGGUGGAUUUUGGUACGUUGGGAGGUCGGUAGGCUUCUAACCGCCUCCUUUCGGUGGCACAUCCAGCUGUCCCCGUGCCGUGUGUGGAAAAGACCUUUUUCCACCUGUCGCAGUGUCUUGUCACCCUUGUCAAAAGUCACCUGACCAGAAACGUGUGGGCUGACUUCGGACUCUCGGUUCUAAUCCACUCAUCUGAACAUCUUUCCUUGAGCCGGUACCACAGGGUCUCAAUUACUGUAGUUUUGAAAUCAGGAAGUGUCUGUCCCCAACUGUUCUUCUUUUUCAAGAUUGUUCUGGCUAUUCUGGGUUCCUUGGCUUGCCACAUGAAUAUUAGGAUCAGCCUGUCAGUUUCUACAAAAAAAGGCAGUUUUGGUGUUGAUUGGGACUAUACGAAAUCUGUGGAUCAAUUUGGGGGGUUUAAAUCCUUUUUAUGGAUCUGCUAUUUGAGAACUAGUACUGGCUAACCCAAGCACCCAAGCAUCUUGCCUUAAAAAAAAAAAUUGUUGUUUUAAUUUAUGAGUGCAGUAGGCUGCCUUGUUGAAAAACUGUAAUUCACUCUUAGCCUGGAAUUGGACUUUUCUGUUUCCAAGAGAGCAAAAAUUUUCUCACAGAGCCUGCAUCGGUUGUCUUCCUGGAGUGUGUGUUCUUUGGAUGUGAGAAUUUGCUGGUGCCUUGAAUGUUUAGGAAAAAUGUGGUAUUCAGUUAACAUUCAUUUUGAUUAAUAGAGAAUUAACAGAUUCCAGAUAUAAAUAUUUAAUUAUCAAAGAGUUAAGAGUAUGUUACAAUAGUAUUGUGACAUUAAAUCUUAUGUAACUAUUAUUAUUGGAGGAAAAUACUUUAG